GCCAAAUAUAGUAUUCUUUGGAGAAAAGUUGUUUCAAGUUUUGGUGUCUCUGCCCUACUAUUGCCCAGGGCUUGUGUUCACCUUUGUCCUUCCUUUGUUCUCAUCACCUGAGUCAGAUGAUGGACAAGACAGCUCAUGACCACGAAUCAGCCAGAGAAAGAGCUGAAGGGCCCAGCAUGAAGUCUUUGUUCCCAAGAGGUGGUGUGGUACCUGGGGACCAUUAUGACAACAUACACCACCUAGGGGGCCCUCUAUGGAUGACAGCUCCUCCUGUGAGUCACCCUUCUCCCUUCGCAGCGUGGGUCUCGACACCCUGUGCCUCUUUGCUCCCGUUUUUCUCCUGUUAUCAGAAUCUUGUCUAGAUGCUUGAGCCCCAAACACACUUCUCUACAGCCCUGGCCCUUCUGCCCAUCCUAGCGAUGCAGGAAAGAAGGCAGAAAAGAAACAAGAGAAGCCAAAGCCAUUGGCUUUCAUGUAUUUCUUCUUCUCUUUAGAGUUCAUAAAUCUGCAGUUUAUCUAAAGUUUUCCAGUGUUUUCAAAUUUGGCACCCCAGCAGCAACAGCCCAUGAACACCAGCUCUGCAGACUCAUGUACACACUUGAUAAGAUUCGCCCUGGAGCUAUGCUGCCAGUAGUCACCCGAGCUGAUGCGUGGAGCCCAGAAGAUCCGUUCUCUAAAAAUGAAGAGGAAGCCCACUAUUUUCCACAAGGGCCCAGCACUGCAGACAGUCUAAACAUGAACAGAGAAGCGUGCUUCCAGAAAUUGGAACAAAGUCCUGGGAAAGCAGAAGGAACUGGCUUAGACACGGAUUUUGAUUCUAGAAUGGACGUUGGUGAGGAACAACACAGGAGGACACAAGCAGCAUGUUAAUUCUGGCUUUUAACAGACUUCAAAAUCACAAAAAACAGUCACCGAAACCCUGAGCAGAGGUCAGCCUGUCCUAUUUGCGUGUCUCCACUUGGCGUAUUAAAGCCGCAGGGUUGCCGGGCUGGGAUGCACAUCCGGGGUUCUUCACCAAGGUACCAGUUACUCACCUGUUUCACCCCAAGACGCCUAAGCCAGCUGGAGAUGCCCCGUCCCCACUCCGGCCCUCGGUGACAUCUCACCGCAGAGGCUCGCACACCGAGGGCCGCGGCCACCCCCGCCACCCUCACUCGUUAGCGCAGACCCAGGGAGACGCCUGCGGGGUCAUGGGCCAGGUGGCGUGGACACAGGAUGUGUCACUGACUCCAUCAGAACAGCAGUCCCAUCUCUGGAAGCAUCAAGAAUUGUGCCUUCUUGAAAAUUCACCCAUAUUGACAAAUUGUUGUUUCCAAUCUUAGGUUAUGC
rnacentral:lncRNA from 1 species